rnacentral:rRNA from 1 species
UGCCCGAGUAGCACGGGGCUCGUGGAAUCCUGUGUGAAUCUGCCAAGACCACUUGGCUGCCUGAAUACCUCCUGAUGACCGAUAGUGGAUAGUACCGUGAGGGAAUGGUGAAAAGUACCCCGGGAGGGGAGUGAAAUAGUACCUGAAACCGGGCGCUUACAAGCCGUCAGAGCCUUCACGCACUUGUUGUGUGGGGGUGGUGGCGUGCCUUUUGAAGAAUGAGCCUGCGAGUCAGUGGCGUGUCGCGAGGUUAACCCGUGUGGGGUAGCCGUAGCGAGAGCGAGUCCGAAUAGGGCGAUGUGUAGUGGCGCGUUCUGGACCCGAAGCGGGGUGAUCUACCCAUGGCCAGGUUGAAGCACGUGUAAGAGCGUGUGGAGGACCGAACCCACCUAGGUUGAAAACUGGGGGGAUGAGCUGUGGGUAGGGGUGAAAGGCCAAUCAAACUCCGUGAUAGCUGGUUCUCCCCGAAAUGCAUUUAGGUGCAGCGUCGCGUGUUGCCCGGCGGAGGUAGAGCUACUGGGUGGCUGAUGGGCCCCACAGGGUUACUGACGUCAACCAAACUCCGAAUGCCGUCGGGUUGUAGCGUGGCAGUGAGACCGCGGGGGAUAAGCUCCGUGGUCGAGAGGGAAACAGCCCAGAUCGCCGGCUAAGGCCCCUAAGCGUGUGCUAAGUGGGAAAGGAUGUGCGGUCGCGCAGACAACCAGGAGGUUGGCUUAGAAGCAGCCAUCCUUGAAAGAGUGCGUAAUAGCUCACUGGUCAAGUGAUCGUGCGCCGACAAUGUAGCGGGGCUCAAGAGUAGCGAUACUAGGGUGAGAAGCCCUAGCGCCGAAUGACCAAGGGUUCCAGGGCCAGGCUAGUCCGCCCUGGGUGAGUCGGGACCUAAGGCGAGGCCGACAGGCGUAGUCGAUGGAUGACGGGUUGAUAUUCCCGUACCGGCGAAGCACCGCCCAUGCUGACGCGCGGGUGCUAACCCACGCCCAACCACCAUAUAGGCCGCAUGUGUCAGGUUCGCCUGACGGUGUGGUUGUGGUGGUGGGGUCUGGGGAUCCUCCGUGCAGGUAGGCAAGCGUGUUAACAGGGGUGACGCACAGUGGUAGCCCGGCGGACCUGAUGGCUUGGUCCGUUCAAGCGCGCAGCCCGUCUCCCAGGUAAAUCCGGGGGACUGUCUUGGAUGACGGGGGUGAGGCGUGAUGGUGACCUCACGUUGGUGGGGGAUAACAGGGUGAUCCUGGGGUGCCGAGAAAAGCCUCGACGCGAUGGUGCCAGCCGCCCGUACCCUAAACCGACACAGGUGGUCGGGCAGAGUAUGCCUAGGCGCACGAGUGAAUCAUGGUUAAGGAACUCGGCAAAAUGCCCCCGUAACUUCGGGAGAAGGGGGGCCUGAUCCCUGAAGCCCCUUUGCGGGCUAGGGGGGAGGGUCGCAGAGGCCAGGGGGAAGCGACUGUUUACUAAAAACACAGGUCCGUGCGAAGCCGUAAGGCGAUGUAUACGGACUGACGCCUGCCCGGUGCUGGAAGGUUAAGAGGAACCAUCAACCCCCUCGGGGGUGAAGUGGUGAAUUUAAGCCCCAGUAAACGGCGGUGGUAACUAUAACCAUCCUAAGGUAGCGAAAUUCCUUGUCGGGUAAGUUCCGACCUGCACGAAUGGCGUAA